UACGAAGGGGGCUAGCGUUGCUCGGAAUCACUGGGCGUAAAGGGCGUGUAGGCGGCUUCGUAAGUCUUGUGUGAAAGCCCUCGGCUCAACCGAGGAAUUGCACGAGAAACUGCGUGGCUCGAGUCCGGGAGAGGAUAGUGGAAUUCCCAGUGUAGCGGUGAAAUUCGUAGAUAUUGGGAAGAACACCAGUGGCGAAGGCGGCUCACUGGUCCGAUACUGACGCUGAGGUGCGAAAGCGUGGGGAGCAAACAGG
rnacentral:rRNA from 1 species